GGAUGAAUGAUUUUACUCUACACAUGCUCAAAAGACAGUAUCUUUUAUUCACAGGUUUGUACAAAGUCAGGUGUACUUCUAAUAACUUCAUGCAAUCUGACCCAAGCAGCUUCCUGCAUGCAUUUGCCUGGCAAACCUAACUUGUGAAUAUGGACAUCACCACAAUAUCAGAAAGAUGGCCAAGAAAAAUGUGUUUUCUCUGAAGCUUUCUGUGUAAAAAAAAUAGGUGGCAAAACGCAGUAAUGUAGGACAGACCUAGUUUUGUCAAUGGCUCUGUUCCAGUGAUAUUUCUGUAUGAUGUUAUAAUUAGUUUGUUUGACCCACAAGUGAUGAGAAAUGCUGAACAGCUAAAAAACAAAAACUCCAGAAAAAUAACAAAAAUCAUCUUCGUUACUGAAUUUUCUUUAUACUGUAUAAACUUGCUUAUAUAUACCUUUGGAGAUUUGUGUAGUUCAGAGGCUUUCAGAACACUUUAAACCACUAUAACUGGUCCAAUAAAUGAUAUAUUUCUCUG